rnacentral:rRNA from 1 species
CUCCGGUUGAUCCCGCCGGACCCGACUGCUAUCAGAGUGGGACUAAGCCAUGCGAGUCAACGCAGCAAUGCGUGGCAUACGGCUCAGUAACACGUAGUCAACAUGCCCAGGGGACGUGGAUAACCUCGGGAAACUGAGGAUAAACCACGAUAGGCCAAGGUUUCUGGAAUGGACACUGGCUGAAACCUACAUGGCCCCUGGAUUGGACUGCGGCCGAUCAGGCUGUUGGUGAGGUAAUGGCCCACCAAACCUGUAACCGGUACGGGCUUUGAGAGAAGGAGCCCGGAGAUGGGCACUGAGACAAGGGCCCAGGCCCUAUGGGGCGCAGCAGGCGCGAAACCUCUGCAAUAGGCGAAAGCUUGACAGGGUUACUCUGAGUGAUGCCCGCUAAGGGCAUCUUUUGGCACCUCUAAAAAUGGUGCAGAAUAAGGGGUGGGCAAGUCUGGUGUCAGCCGCCGCGGUAAUACCAGCACCCCGAGUGGUCGGGACGAUUAUUGGGCCUAAAGCAUCCGUAGCUUGUUCUGCAAGUCCUCCGUUAAAUCCACCUGCUCAACAGAUGGGCUGCGGGGGAUACUACAGGGCUAGGAGGCGGGAGAGGCAAACGGUACUCAGUGGGUAGGGGUAAAAUCCUCUGAUCCACUGAAGACCACCAGUGGCGAAGGCGGUUUGCCAGAACGCGCUCGACGGUGAGGGAUGAAAGCUGGGGGAGCAAACCGGAUUAGAUACCCGGGUAGUCCCAGCUGUAAACGAUGCAGACUCGGUGAUGGGUUGGCUUUGAGCCAACCCAGUGCCGCAGGGAAGCCGUUAAGUCUGCCGCCUGGGGAGUACGGUCGCAAGACUGAAACUUAAAGGAUUGGCGGGGGAGCA